UGUGCUGCAUGGCUCUGCAUUGCUUCUGGGAAACUUGGGGGACUAGCAGAACUGACUCCUAGCAGGCACUAACAAAAGUGUUUAGAGCACUCUGUUGAAAAUAGCAGGAUUUGAAGAAACUGGAUGUCACUUAAAAUAUGAUCCUUGGAUAAACAUCACAUGCUGCUGGCCUUCUUACAAAAUGACCGUUUCAUCUCUGAGAGAUUCAAUGACCAUGUUUGAUGACAAGCCAGAUGGCAGCGUUCUCUGGACCCGGUGCCAGGAAGCAUGACAGGAGCCGCAAUUUACCUUCCGCGGUGAGCCCGCCGCCGCAGCCCGCCACAGCUGCGGGCGAGCGGCGCUGCCGGUAG